UGCCGCGUGUGUGAAGAAGGCCUUCGGGUUGUAAAGCACUUUCAGUGAGGAAGAAGGCCUUGGGCUUAAUACGUCCGAGGAAGGACAUCACUCACAGAAGAAGCACCGGCUAACUCCGUGCCAGCAGCCGCGGUAAUACGGAGGGUGCGAGCGUUAAUCGGAAUUACUGGGCGUAAAGCGCGCGUAGGUGGCGUGAUAAGCCGGUUGUGAAAGCCCCGGGCUCAACCUGGGAACGGCAUCCGGAACUGUCAUGCUAGAGUGCAGGAGAGGAAGGUAGAAUUCCCGGUGUAGCGGUGAAAUGCGUAGAGAUCGGGAGGAAUACCAGUGGCGAAGGCGGCCUUCUGGACUGACACUGACACUGAGGUGCGAAAGCGUGGGUAGCAAACAGGAUUAGAUACCCUGGUAGUCCACGCCGUAAACGAUGUCGACUAGCCGUUGGGAGCCUCGAGUUCUUAGUGGCGCAGUUAACGCGAUAAGUCGACCGCCUGGGGAGUACGGCCGCAAGGUUAAAACUCAAAUGAAUUGACGGGGGCCCGCACAAGCGGUGGAGCAUGUGGUUUAAUUCGAUGCAACGCGAAGAACCUUACCUACCCUUGACAUCUUCGGAAGCCGAGAGAGAUCUUGGUGUGCCUUCGGGAACCGAAAGACAGGUGCUGCAUGGCUGUCGUCAGCUCGUGUUGUGAAAUGUUGGGUUAAGUCCCGUAACGAGCGCAACCCCUGUCCCUAUUUGCCAGCGAUUCGGUCGGGA
rnacentral:rRNA from 1 species